AGGAGCUCAAGAAACUGGAUCAUCUGCUUUGGGAAGAGCUGAAUUCCAACUUGAAGGCGUGUUCUUUUCAAGCUGGGGAGAAUGAUGCAGGAGUAGCAGGGGUCAACUCUUUGCUUUCAAGAGUCGACUCAUGUGUAGUAAGGGUUGACUCUUUAUUUUCAAGAGUUAACUCAUGUGUAACGGGGGUCGACUCAUUGCUUUCAAGAGUCGACUCAUGUGUUUAGUGAGUCAUCCUUUGAUCCUGACAGCAUGAUAGAGUUGGCUUUGAAUUAAUUCUGAGAAUAAUAUAUGGUUAAUCAGCUAGCAUUCCAUAUACCAUUGGAAAGCUCUACUCCUCUAGUUUCCAACGCACUUGAUCUCGUGCUAUUUGAAGAUCCCUAGAGAAAGUUAUAGUAUUUUUACUACUGCACGUCUGGACUAGCAACGCCCAGCAAAGUGCAUUUAAGUUGGUCUUUUUCCAGCACAUAGUUUCAUUUUUCUAAGUGCCUUUUGGUAUUUCUAAAUAUUGGAACUUGUAACUAGACUCCCAUCAAUGUGUUUUAGCACUGUUUUGUCUUACCUAUGUUUGGAGGGAUGUUC
rnacentral:lncRNA from 1 species